GAACAAGGGAUGAUAGAACAAGCUAUCUUUAAUUGAAUGAACUUUUUGUUUCCAUUCGAGUUUAUUCGUUUUUCUGUUUUCUUUGUUUGAAAUGAUUGAAAAUGUUGAAAGUGAAAAUUACUCAUCGACAGGCCAAUAUAAAGGACGGAGAUUUAUGUGGAGCAUUUUGGCCGACAUAAUUAAAUCCGACGGUCCAGGUAGUGCAUCAGCCACCAUCGGCAUGUGGACGGACAAUUAUGUUAAGCGAAAUAAAAAUCAAAAAGUCCAUAAUUGAUUCGGUGUUAGGCAUGAAAUCAAUGGAUUUCGAGUAGUUCACCAGCGUAAACUUUUUAAAGAAGCUUAUAUGCAUUGGCAAUGAAUUUGGCUGGUAUUAUGUUCGUUUUUCACCGUUGAAACCCCCGUUAUUCCGCGAUUACCUUAAGCCAUAAAACCAAAUAAAAUUAAAGUUUUUUUGUUUUCUAAA